AGUGAACGCUGGCGGUAGGCCUAACACAUGCAAGUCGAACGGCAGCACAGGAGAGCUUGCUCUCUGGGUGGCGAGUGGCGGACGGGUGAGGAAUACAUCGGAAUCUACUCUGUCGUGGGGGAUAACGUAGGGAAACUUACGCUAAUACCGCAUACGACCUACGGGUGAAAGCAGGGGACCUUCGGGCCUUGCGCGAUUGAAUGAGCCGCUGUCGGAUGAGCUAGUUGGCGGGGUAAGGCCCACCAAGGCGACGAUCCGUAGCUGGUCUGAGAGGAUGAUCAGCCACACUGGAACUGAGACACGGUCCAGACUCCUACGGGAGGCAGCAGUGGGGAAUAUUGGACAAUGGGCGCAAGCCUGAUCCAGCCAUACCGCGUGGGUGAAGAAGGCCUUCGGGUUGUAAAGCCCUUUUGUUGGGAAAGAAAUCCAGCUGGCUAAUACCCGGUUGGGAUGACGGUACCCAAAGAAUAAGCACCGGCUAACUUCGUGCCAGCAGCCGCAGUAA
rnacentral:rRNA from 1 species